UUUCCAGAUCUAUUUUGUCAAGUAUGUUACAAUGAAAACUGUGCAACGAUUUAUUAAAUCAUAUUAGGCACUUGUUAAUUGCGAAUGAAGGGUAUCUUAACAGUCGUCUUAACCAAAAUAUUUUGUUGCACCCCUCUCCAUAGGGUUUUUUGCCCGCCUGGCAUCGCUUUUCUUGGCACAUUGUUUGGCCAAAACGGAAGGAAACACUUUCAUUAUCACUUUGGCGCUGCAAAUUUAUAGCGUCACUCGAGCGAAGUCGACACCCCUGAGAGGCAAGUGCACGUAUUCCGCGGAUACCGUCGUCGAGCGAGAAGCGUGCAAAAUUUAAAGUAAAGCGAAAAGCGAUAAGGGCAUUACCGAGAACGCUUAUGCAAUCACCCAGCCCAAUCGAUGUCCACCUGGGAAGUCAAUGGAUUUCGGGCACUUCAAUCAUGGCGAAUCAUGGCGGCUUUCAUUGAAUUACUAGCAAUUCCUCUUCGGAAUUUCUUGGCUGAGGAACCAGACCACGCUGAAGAAACGGCUGAGUCAAGAAGCAAUGGUGCAACAACUCUGCCUGAUACUACAAAAGCAAGAUAAGCGAGGAUGCACUUUACCGAAAAAAAGCAAGUGGCUUAAGUGGCUGUGUUGCGAGCGGAUGUUUAUAUAGAUUCCUAAAGGAUGCGGAAGAAUUUGAUUUCACGAAUUUAUUUAUUAAGUCUAAAGGAUUCCAGAGUUUCUGUUUAUCCUGCUUCCCUUUCACAGUGAUAAUAUUCAAAAGGGUGGAGAGCUGUUAUAAAUACCGUCUUUAACAAGACCACCACCGAUCUAUGGUCCAUCAAUGUCGAAUCAGCGAAUACCGCAAAUAGCGAACGAAGUGCACAGUUGGAGGCUGACAGCUUAAAAGCUUUUUUUCAUGAGGAAAAGCCGUCUCAUUUCGUGAUCUAAGACCAUUUAUCUAUGCGUUAGUAGAUUUCCAACAUGUCUACUUAAUGUGUCGUCAUUUUCCGAGUUCAUGACUUUGAGCACUGAAUACUAAUCCAGUUAACUAUGAAUACCUUUUAUCAAUAGAAUAACAUAUAAAUAUUUCCUAACAUAUCUUAAUAUAAAAGAGUUUACAUUUCCUUUCCCUAAUAUUAUAAUUUCUUCAACGUAAUCCAUUUCUUUGUUUUGUCCAGAUAGUCCACUCCAGAUUUACUAGUCUUGUUUUCAAAUGUUUUCCGGAUUUCUUAUCCUUUUGUUAUUUGUCUCUUCCUUUUUCAUUCCAGUGACUUGUUUUGGGUGUAGCAAUUUGCGGAAAUUAGCCAAGGUGUUUUAUGGUCAUCACCAUCGACCCACCCACUGUCCUCUGUCCACUAUUGCAGUCAUCGGAUGAAGGAGCCGUGGCACUUCGGAGUGGAUUGUUGUCCGGCAACGUGGAAAUGUUUACUUUUUCUUCGGUUUGCUUUUCCAACACUCUGUACCAA